CCCUUUUAACCCAUAAAAAUAGAUUGCUCUAAAUGAAAAUAACUCCAAAAUUCAACCCAACACUCAUAAAUUGGGUUAUCAAAAUAACCCAUAUUUUUUUGUGUGUGUGCAGGCUGUGGUAAAAAUGGAAGUGGCGUGCAGAUGACUCCACCCCCCACUCCACGGUAAGAUGCUUACGAGUCAUUAGCACAAGAUCCCUGGUCCAGCACGGUCCACUCGGGCCAGGAUGCCGACAAAGUGCACAGUUAAGUCCUCCCCACGAUUCCCAGGCGCCUUUUUUUAAGGACCGUCUCGUCUGGUUUUUUUUUUGAAGGUGUGCCACUCAGGACGACUAUAAGCUUUCUACUCCAUUGAUCUCGCCCGGAAACGGGAAGAGGAGACCCGCUCUGGGAGCCAUUUGGAGCAUCUCAAAAAUCACUUAGCACAUCAUUCCCAACAUCCACAAUCAAUCUGAGAGGGGGAGCUGCCUGUUGUGACGUUGAUUUGACCGUUGAAUUUUGGUCAUUAAGGGUCUACAGUUCCUUAGCCAAUCAGGACGCAGAACACAAUGGGGUCAGGGUUAGAGUUCGGGACAGGUGUGUGUCACUGAGAGGG